rnacentral:misc_RNA from 1 species
GAUGAAGAACGUAGCGAAAUGCGAUAAGUAAUGUGAAUUGCAGAAUUCAGUGAAUCAUCGAAUCUUUGAACGCACCUUGCGCUCUUUGGCCAUUCCAAGGAGCAUGCCUGUUUGAGUGUCAUUGAAUCCUCAAGGCCCCCUUUUCCUGCCCUUCCUUUUCAAGCUUGGGCUUUAGGGGACUUGGACUUUGGGAGUGCUGCGGUGCCGGGCUUUCUCCGGCUCCGCUCUCCUCAAAUGCAUCAGUAGGGGGCCCCCUCAUCCCUUUCGGGUCUUUGCGGCGUUGAUAGUUGUCCACGCCUCUGCCCGUUGGGUCUCACCCUGCUCCCUCAACCCCCCCCCCACGUUUUUCUUUAAACGCUUUUGACCUCAAAUCAGGUAGGACUACCCGCUGAACUUAAGCAUAUCAAUAAGCGGAGGA